AAAUCGCUUGUUGGGAUGUCGAAACACUGUGCUAUUGAAUGGAACUUAGAAAUAAACUUCGUAGACGCCAUCCUCACUUCCAUUGACGUGGCAGUGAUUACACCUGCGUCUUCAGAAUAGACGCUUGAAGUCAAAUCGCUUCCCAGUUGAGAAGAUGGUUACGGAUUGCCUCAUAUUUCAGUUUGGCUCCAGGUGACUUCUGACUUGCUCGUGAACCAACUGUCCCAAAUAGAUGGAUCGGAUACCGUCUGCUGAUAUCAAUUUGUACGAAUGAACAUGGAAACUUCUUUGAGUGAAGUUCGUACCAUAAGAAAUUAAAAUGUUUGUCGUACGCAUUUUGUUGAACGGUCAUAAUUGUCACGGUUCACCAUUUCAUCUGAAAAUCACGAAAAAUUCUCGUCAUUGGGUUAUAGGACGUAUUCAUUCGUAGCAAGUUGUACAGGAAAGAUGACCGAAAUCAGGGGCUACUGUCAGCUGAAAACAAUUGUGGACAUAUGCAUGCUUAAAAGCACUAGAUUGUGUGUCAGUCCCCUGGAAGUGGAAAAAUUCUAACUUGGGACCAAGUGUUUGUCCCAAACUCACCUUGUGGGAAUUACAUGGGGAACCAGAGUAAAGGGAAGACGCUGGCUACCGACUGAUUAUGUAAGUACCGUGUGGGCCAACACCUUCGAUGUCGAACAUAAAGAAUUUCUUUAGAAGUCAAUCACUGAAAAGGCUUCGUCGGCCUUCCGUCGAAAUCCUUUCCAGCCAAAGAAUGAGUGUCUUCUGUUGGUGAAAGCUUUAGAGAUUGGCACAUCCGCUUCAGCCAGUACUGAUCGGAAUCACAAUGACCGUAACUCAAAAAUGACUUACUUCGUGAAUUUUUUUCGUCCUAUACCACUGAAAACGAUCGGGAUUCAGAAGAGCCAGAAGCAUGUCAUUAAGGUUGCAACCGAUCUUGGCAAUCGAGAUCCAUUAAGAGGAUUAACUGCUUCCGUUGAUACAUUUUUAGUGAACAUUCCAAUGGCCAAGGUUCGCAGAAUUCUGGACUCCACGAUCACUUCCAAGAUGUUCAAGGUCCAAAGAAGACUUAUUAGAAGCGAAUCACGUUUCACUUAAUCCAAAAAAGUGACGCAGAAACUGCUCAGAGAAUGCAAAAUCCAAAAUUGUCCAAUGCAUGUGUUACUUUUACCUGAUGCCACACUGAGCUAAGAAUUUUUACGGCAUUCGGCACCCCAAACGAAGCGGCCACCUGUUGGUGCGAUAAUCAUUACAUGUGGACAUGUUAUUUAUGUUUUGUCGAAUUUCAACCACUUCUCUGAGAAUUUCUGAAGAUAAGCAAACGAAGCAAAGCAUAUUACAGGAGAGACGAUCAAAAAUCAACCCAAUGAUAAAACAAGGAGAACAUAGUCUUGACGAGCAAGUUUAUUGCAUCUGCCAUAGCACAGAUGCCAGCAGAUUUGGGAUGCAAGAAUUUAAAAAUCUGUUAAUUACUUAAUAAAAAAUUUCAUGCUUUCAUCCCUCGCCGACUUGCAUUUUUGGUUGUAUAUUAAGGCAAA